CACGUAGGGUGCGAGCGUUGUCCGGAAUUAUUGGGCGUAAAGAGCUCGUAGGCGGCUUGUCACGUCGGGUGUGAAAGCCCGGGGCUUAACCCCGGGUCUGCAUUCGAUACGGGCAGGCUAGAGUGUGGUAGGGGAGAUCGGAAUUCCUGGUGUAGCGGUGAAAUGCGCAGAUAUCAGGAGGAACACCGGUGGCGAAGGCGGAUCUCUGGGCCAUUACUGACGCUGAGGAGCGAAAGCGUGGGGAGCGAACAGG
rnacentral:rRNA from 1 species